CAGGAAAGGUAAGCAGAUCCUGGUCCACAUGUGGUACCCGUCGUCUUGGUUAUGUGAUUACAAAUCCGGUAAAUAGUCUAAUUCGGUAGGUCACAUUCAUGAAAGGGAAGGGGAUUGUAGUUACGACGUAAGGAACAUAUCCGAUAUUAUGUGUGAAACGGUUAUUCUAUAACGGUCAACCAACUCGUGAUGGCGUCCGUAAAAUUUACGAAGGGAUGAUUUCAACU
rnacentral:lncRNA from 1 species